GUUCAACUUCGGGACCCUGACACAUGUUCCUACCCAGUGGAUUUUGCAAAGUUCACCUUUUCAGUUCUUCUAGGGGCAGCAGAGCUUCUUCAACCCCACUGCAAGUUGACUGACACCCUUCAAUACUCUCUUGACCCUACAGAUAAUGCUCAUCAAUUCCUCUAUGCCACAGAACUGUAACACUUAGAAGACUCUGUGGAAUACGAACACUUCUCUGAUUUAUCCUCAUGAAAUUGUUUUCCUGAUGAAAGGAGGAAUAUGAGAAAACUUCAAGCAAUUCAUCUGUAUCGGCAUGGAGAGGAGGAAAAUGAGACUGUAGAUAUACGUUGCUUUGGAUGGCACCAAUAUGGGCCAGGAAGCUUGCUUGAAACAAGAUAAAAAUGUGAUUUGGAUACCAAUGAAGUGACUUUCUGAAUCCUUGCCUUCCUAAAUACAAACUGCAUGACCCUGGCUCUACCUCUUAAAAAUGUAGCAAUUUAUUUUUCUCAGUGGCAGAUUUGAAUAAUAAUGUUUAUAUGUCUAUAACUUAACACUAUUGUGAGAAUCAAAUGAAAUAAUGAUUAGUAAAUAACUUUGAGAAUCAUUAAGUAAUUUAUCAAACAUAUGUUUUGUGCAAGGCAUAUGUAGAUUAUAGUAAUUAUUAUAAACAAUUUAGGCAUAGUUCAAAACCAUAAUGCUUUUUAACAACUGACCUACUUUAUUUCUUGCACCAAAUACAUUUUCAAUAAAUGUUCUAUAUUUUUCUAAUAAAUCUCUGUUUCUUUAAUGCAACUAUCUAUUUAACUUUAAACAUGAAAAAUUCAGACAACAUAUUUAGCAUAAAGAGAUAAAGUGUUCUCUAGUUUCUAUAAUAUGCAAUUUUUCAUAAAUAUUUUCAGCUUCUUGUCU
rnacentral:lncRNA from 10 species